rnacentral:misc_RNA from 1 species
UGGGAUUCUGCUUGCGUUAGCUGUGGUUAACACAUGUGCUUUAGUCAUCUUGGUGUUUUUUUCUAAUUGUUUACAGUGUAAAUAGUAGAUUAUUGUGGGAAUAGUGGUUAAACUAACAUUUUUACUGUAGGUUAAGGUGUAACAAUGAAAGUCUUACUAUUUUGCCUGUUUUCAAAAUUAAAUUGAGACUGUUAUCUCAACUGCACCGAUCAAUCAAUCUCCUACGUGUGUUCUCCACUCUACGUGACAUUGGCGGAAUCAACCGUGCUUCUCUGGCACAACUGAAAGCCAUUAAACCAAUCAAUCAAUCAAAAAAACUCAUAGCCAGUAUGAAAG